rnacentral:rRNA from 1 species
AUGGUAACAGGAUUCGUCGAGCUACUCCACCUUCAUGACUCGCAGACGGAAGGCAUAGCAAAUCCAGAGUCUUCUUGUGGUAUCGACAUGCUGGCAUCAAUCGCCGCCGAUCUGGAUUUGGAGCCAAUCUCCAGAUCCGAAGUUGUGGAUGGUAGCACAUCCGAUCCGAUUUGGGGUGACGCGCAAGCAGCCGAUGUACCCAAGUCCGGACAUGGCGAGACGAAUCCUUCUCCAUGGCAGUCAUCCGGAGGUUGGAAACGCAGGGAUGCAGCUGGGAGCUGUCUUCGGUUGAUUCCUGGUUUAUUUUUUAUUCAUUUUUUAUCUGUAUUGAUUCCUUGUUUCGGUCUUGAUAAAUGUGGUGCCUCGUAA